CUCUACCCACCAGGGCCCUGAGAACAGGAUCCCCAAGAGCUGGCAGAUCCACGAAGAAAGGGGGAGAAGGGCCCCCACCCUGACUACCAGCCCCUGUUGACCAGGGAGCUCAGGGCAGUUGUGGACAGCUCUGAGGAGGUCCUCGCAGGGUCCAGGAGUCUGGGCCCCACCCUGAGUCGAGGCCUGAUUCAGCCCCCAAGCAGCAGUCAGCUCCCCACUGGGCCUGGGGCUAGGGGCUGGCCCCGCCCCCUGCACGCUGGCUCCGCCCCCUGCACGCUGGCUCUGUCAGACACCUUGCAACAGGCAUGACUGGGUGAGCUUGGGGCAGCCCGGAGGUGUGGAGGGGGCAGUGAAGACACCAGAGGAGCGGUGGCCCCUCCAGAGCUUGUGCAGGCCCCUCUGGGUCCUGGGUCCUUGGCCAAAUCUCAUGUUGAAACGUAAUCCCCAGUGCUGGAGGUGGGGCCUGGUGGGAAGUGAUUGGAUCCUGGGGGCAACUUCCCCCUUUGGUGCUGUUCCCAUGAUAAGACUUCUCAAGAUCUGGUUGUCUGGAAGUGCGUGGCACCGCCCCACCCCUUCCUCCGGCCAUGUAAGACCUGCCCGCUUCCGCUUCCACCAAGAUGCUCGUACUCCCCGGGGCUGGCUGGACUGGGCCUCUGCUCCAAGUCCCCACCCUCCACCCUCAGCCAACCACACAGUGGUGCUGCCCACCCUGAAGCCCGGGGAGCCAGGUGAGCUGGUCUGGUGGAAUGCCUGGGCAGACGGAAGUGCCCCAGGCGGUCAGCAUUCCCCCCACACCCUUGCCUGUCUGUGCCACCUCAGGCUGCUUCGACAAGAGAGGCCCAGGCCCCCAGCCUCCACUUCCUGCCAAGCCUAGAACCUCUCCCCCAAGCAGUUCCUCUUGAAGCUCACGUUGCCCAAACUGGCGGAACCCUGAGAUCAGGAACUUGCUGGUGCAGAGGCAGGGCCAGCCCAGCACAGCCACGUGCAGUGCCACUCUGGCCAGGUGUCUGGGGCUGAGUCAUCUCCUGGAGCUUCAACUUCUUCCCCAUUCUUCCUCUCCUUCCGUGGGCUGCUGGGUCAGGAGCUGUGUCCCUGACGCCAGAUGCCAGGGUGGUGCUGGGUUGGCAGCAGCAGUGGCAGGAGACACCUGAGCACUCCCUUUUGACUUGGGGAGUUUGAGACGUCUUCACUGACCCUGAGCCUGGGGGGCAGUGCCUAGGCAGGCGUGGGAGCCCAGGGCCACGGCUGGACCCUCUUACCUGGCACUACCCCCAACCCUGUCCUGUCCCCAGCCUGCCUCUAGCAAGGAAAGGUCUGCAGCAACUCCCUCAACUCCAAGGCAGACACCAAAGCCCUCCCUGCCUGUGGCUUUGUAGUUCUAGUGUGGGAUCUGACUCCCCACAGCCUACCCAAAGCCGGGGAACUCCUCACUGCCCUUCGGGCUUCAGCACAGGGCUGUCUCCCACGCCGGCAGGGCCUGUGCUUUCACUGGGAUGCAAAUCUUCCUGCUACCUCGAGCUCAGAUUCCCGACUCCAGCCCAGCCGCAGCCCGGGAGGCGCAGCCCGUGGGCUGGGUGAACAAACGACACAAACAACACAGGACAAGCUGUGGGGAAAAGUGAGUGAUUCGUGUUGUUUCCAGUCAGC
rnacentral:lncRNA from 1 species